GCAAAAUGUGUUAUCACUUAUCACUCACGCAUAACUUCUAAUCUUUUGCUCAAUAUUUCAUAUUUUAUGAAAUAAUACUACUGUGCGUGCACAUGCUCAUGCGCAUGCGUGUGCCAGAGAGUGAGAGGAAAGGUAAGUCCACAAGAGAGAGACAAUAUUUUGUUUCCAUAAUGAAAUGAUCCAAGAAACACACCUUUAACUCCAAGUUUAUAGUUG
rnacentral:misc_RNA from 1 species